rnacentral:rRNA from 1 species
UCGUGCCAGCAGCCGCGGUAAUACGAAGGGGGCUAGCGUUGCUCGGAAUUACUGGGCGUAAAGGGAGCGUAGGCGGGUUAUCAAGUUGGAGGUGAAAGCCCAGGGCUCAACCUUGGAAUUGCCUUCAAAACUGAUAACCUAGAGGAUAGAAGAGGUAAGUGGAACUCCGAGUGUAGAGGUGAAAUUCGUAGAUAUUCGGAAGAACACCAGUGGCGAAGGCGACUUACUGGUCUAUUACUGACGCUGAGGCUCGAAAGCGUGGGGAGCAAACAGGAUUAGAUACCCUGGUAGUCCACGCUGUAACGAUGAGUGCU